rnacentral:rRNA from 1 species
AGAACGAACGCUGGCGGCAGGCCUCAAACAUGCAAGUCUAGGGGGGUGUAGCAAUACAUCACCGGCGGACGGGUGCGUAACGCGUGGGAAUAUACCUAUUGGUUCGGAACAACUGAGGGAAACUUCAGCUAAUACCGGAUGAGCCCUAACGGGGAAAGAUUUCUCGCCAAUAGAUUAGCCCGCGUCCGAUUAGCUAGUUGGUGGGGUAAAAGCCUACCAAGGCGACGAUCGGUAGCUGUUCUGAGAGGAAGAUCAGCCACACUGGGACUGAGACACGGCCCAGACUCCUACGGGAGGCAGCAGUUGGGAAUCUUGGACAAUGGGGGAAACCCUGAUCCAGCCAUGCCGCGUGAGUGAUGAAGGCCUUCGGGUUGUAAACUCUUUCGACGGGGACGAUAAUGACGGUACCCGUAGAAGAAGCUCCGGCUAACUUCGUGCCAGCAGCCGC